AUUCCUGUAGGGAAUAUACAUAGAGAGUUAAAAGAUAGCUAAAAUUCAGACUACACCACCGACUGACCGAUGACAAUCGAUACCAAUUAGAUAAUUAAAUCGAUUGAUAUCGAAUAAUGAAGUGGGUUUCCGAUAAUCGAUGCUCCUGCCGAGGUGUGUCUAGGGAUCAGGUAUGGGGAACCUUAAAGGGGCCGUAUGACGUAAAUUCACAUCAAUAUUACACCUCGCUACAUUCAUUAGAAAGAGCAUCGUUUGAAAUACUCUUGGUGAAAAAAGUAGCCCAAAACUCCAACAGCAAAGUUGUAAAAAGUGAAAAUAAAGCCCGUAUAAAACGUUCGAAAAUCGGCGGCCAUUGCUUGAGCUAGCUUGAUUUGGAGGGCACUUAUGACGUCACUUGUCCCCAACAAGUCGGCUCAUUACAUUCAGAACCAUUGCCAAAUAGAAGGGUAUACUUGGUGUCUGGUCUCCAAACAUCAAUAUGAAGCGGUUAUGGGAAGAAAGACGGGCCUGUUUUUAAAUUUGAUUAUCUGACCGAGAUCCAGAAGAAACCUUUCGCAUUCUAAACCCCUGGUAGCCGAAGAAAACUGCCUUGAAUUACGAGCGUCUGCUAUAAAAAGCGAUCAUCUGUCGACCACGUGCGUAAUUUCAACACGAAAGGAAUCACAAAUCCACCUCUACAAGGGUACGACUCCUAACAAGAUAUCUUUCAGAUUGUUCUUGAGUUACUGUAGUGUCAAAAGUGUGUUGGCACAACUAUGCUCAUUCCCUCUAAUCCCUCACUGCCUAAUACAGUUUACAGUUUGCAGCAAAAGUUUGGUCUUUUUUAAUUUUUUUAUUUUGGAAUAAGCUCCCUUUUAAACUAUCUAAAAAUAGUUAGCUUGAAGACUGUCACAAAAUAUUCUAAUGCAUGGGAAAUAAAAUAAAAUAUGGAACUAAUCUA